rnacentral:rRNA from 1 species
GGCUCAGGAUGAACGCUAGCGGCAGGCUUAAUACAUGCAAGUCGUGGGGCAGCAUGAGUAGCAAUACUUGAUGGCGACCGGCAAACGGGUGAGGAACACGUACACAACCUUCUCAAGCGGGGAAUAGCCCAGAGAAAUUUGGAUUAAUACCCCAUAAUAUAUUUGAUAAGGCAUCUUAUUAAUAUUAAAGCUUCGGCACUUGAUGAUGGGUGUGCGGCUGAUUAGAUAGUUGGCGGGUAACGGCCCACCAAGUCUACGAUCAGUAGCUGAUGUGAGAGCAUGAUCAGCCACACGGGCACUGAGACACGGGCCCGACUCCUACGGGAGGCAGCAGUAAGGAAUAUUGGACAAUGGACGAAAGUCUGAUCCAGCCAUGCCGCGUGAAGGAUUAAGGUCCUCUGGAUUGUAAACUUCUUUUAUAUGGGACGAAAAAGGGCAUUCUUGUUCACUUGACGGUACCAUAUGAAUAAGCACCGGCUAACUCCGUG